rnacentral:tRNA from 1 species
GCCCCCAUCGUCCAGCGGCCUAGGACGCCGGCCUUUCACGCCGGUAACACGGGUUCGAAUCCCGUUGGGGGUGCCA